rnacentral:lncRNA from 1 species
CUCUCUCCAUACCCAUUUGGGCAGCCAUGAAUUCACCAUGAAAACAUGAAAUCUAACCAUGGAAACUAAGGAGAAAAGCAUGGGAAAGGUAGAUCACAAGUCAAAAUAAGAAAUUUUACCAUUGAUUGCUUGAUUCAUUGAAAUCCCACACUUUUUCUUCAAUUUUCCCACCUAGGUUUUUGUUCUUUCUUUGUUCUUCUUCACUUCAUGUGGUGGCCGGCCAAAAUGAAGAA